rnacentral:rRNA from 1 species
CGUCUCCUACGGGACGCAGCAGUGGGGAAUAUUGCACAAUGGGGGAAACCCUGAUGCAGCGACGCCGCGUGAGUGAAGAAGCGUUUCGGCGCGUAAAGCUCUGUCAGCGGGGAAGAAACACGGUUCGCGAGAGCCGCGGACGGUACCCGACCAAGAAGCCCCGGCUAACUACGUGCCAGCAGCCGCGGUAAUACGUAUGGGGCAAGCGUUAUCCGGAUUCACUGGGCGUAA